AGAUGAGGACUCACUAUGCUGUCCAGACUGGUCUCAAACUCCUGGGCUCAAGCCAUCCUCCCUGCUCAGUCUCCCAAAGUGCAGGCCUGAGCCACCAAGAAUGACUGACCCUGUUCCUUGAGGCUGUGGAGGAUUCUCAGUGAUUCCACUGGUCAAAUGAUGUGAGACACAGGGGAAGACCUAUGAAAGCCUGCUGGUGCUAAGACAUUGAGCUAAAUGUCUUAAGUGGUUUCAGAGAGGCUCCAUCUGAUUGUGGAUAUUUUGCAAAUGAAUGGAUUACAAAAAAGACCUUCAAAGAGGAAAACAUUGUACUAGAAGACCUCUUCCCUGCACUCCUGUAGGUCAAUUACCAAAACAAACAGAUAAACAAACUGUGGACUCUUGAAGAAAACGGAGAAAACAAAAAAUAAUUACACUGCAGUCUUAAAAGAGAGAAGUUAAAAGGCAAAACUGUAUUUCAUCCUUGUCUUAUAAACAGUGAAUUGUAAAACUUGUCUAUCACUUUUUUUAAAUUUUCAACCACUGGCUUUUUUUUUAAGAAAAGGAAAAGAAAUUUCUGUAGUCCAAAACAAUGUUUACUUGUAAAAAUUGAUGAUGUCUUAAAAUGGGAUAGAGAUUAGCACAGCUCUGUCUACUGGAAAUGUAAUAUAAGGCACAUAGGUACUUUUAAAGUUUCUAAUAACUGCAUUUUAAAAAGAAAAAAGUGGAAAUAGGUUUAAUAAUAUGUUUUAUUUAACCCAAUAUGUACAAAUGAUUAUUUCAACAUCUAACCAAAAUAUAACAAUUGAGAUACUAUAUAUUCUUUCUUUUGUACACUGUCUUUGAAACUUGGUGUGUAUUUUACAUUCACCGUAUAUUUCAACUUGGGCUAGCUAUAUUUCUCAUUCUAAGUACUCAGAAGUCACACGUGGUUAUUGCUUAUUGGCUCUCACAUCAGUAAACACAGGUUUAGCAUAGAGUCCUGUCUUUGUAAUCAGACGAAUAUUUGUUCAAAACAUGACUGUAUGGCCUUAGCUAUGUGGCCUUAGACAAGUGGCUUAACUUCUAUCCUUUAAAAAAAAUAAAAUGGAGAUAAUAAUAUCUAACUUCUAGAAUUUUGUGAGAAUUAAAUACUCUAUGUCAAUCUUUCUUCAUAUGGUCAAUCCCAAUAAAUGGCUGCUAGUAUUGGAAGUACAGUAGAGUAGAUUAUGACAGUGCAGCUAUUAUUUUUAAACAAGUUAAAAAUUACCCUAAUUUUGGAGUAUCUGCUAUAUUUCCAAUAAAGUGAAGGUAUGCACAAGACGUCUGCCAGCCUGUGCUGUCCGGCCCUAUGGCAAAGUUGGAAUAUUGAA